UGCUCAGUCGGUAGAGCAUGAGACUUUUAAUCUCAGAGUCAUGGGUUCAAGUCCUACACUGGGCAAAA